AUCAGUCACAGGUAUUGCGUAUUACAGUACAACGCGUAAGUAAGGAAUCUGCGCGGAUGCAGGUGGAUCUCUCCGCCCGUAGUCACUCAACAGAAGCGUAUACGACGGGGGGCAUGGACGUGUACAGUACAUGUUCUCAAUAAGCACAGGAUAUAUUGUCAAAAAUCGCGUUUGUUGCUAUGCGUGAGUCUUGUGCCAGUUACGUCCAGAUUUCUAGACGGUAGCAUCUUAUUGUCGUCUUCAGGUAGUCAAGUUAUCUGUAACAUUUCGUACAAGCCGAUGAAGAAGUACUUUGUCCGGCCUUAAGCAAUACUGUGCCGACACGCUGAGAUAAUAUUCAGCGUAACACACCAGAGCGAAUGUGGUAGGCACACUAAAGAACACGGCGAUGCAGUACUUUGUUGCAGAGAUCACAGACUUCAGCCAUGUGACGGCCCUGUUUCGACAGCCGUUCACAACGGACUACUCCAGUAUUGCCAGGUUGCUGCAAAAAGAAGCGGGUAUCCAGUUUUAAGUCAGACACACAAGCUCCAACGUGAUCCUGUGAUACAUGGCUGCACUGGCUAUGUACCAUGAAGUUUACCUGGAAUUAAUGUAAUUUCUAAUGUCUGUGUUGUAUAUACGAUAUUGUAUACCAAAUCUAUAGUUGCUCACUCCUCUGGCUAAACAGUUAAUACCACAGACCAAGAAAUUAAAAAAAAAAGGCCGUAAAGAAAGGAUCACUGACGAAUUGUACGAAGGUAGAACGACCGAACGCAUUACGUGUCCUCUCGUUACCCAAUCAAUGUCGCUAAACAGAACCACUCUGGGAUCGGGUUGGCGAUAAUUUCUUUUCAUUUCUUACAUUUACAAAUUAUCUGUCAAACCAGAGUGAGGUGACAGACCACUCCUGAUUAUUACAAUUUCUUCGAUGUAAUUACCACACAUUUUUGUUGAUACCUCUUACGCAAAAAAAAACAAUAAUGCAAUAAAGUUAAAAUGAUCAUAUAUAAGGGGCAUUCAAAAAGAAACGAGCCGGAGACAUAAUUACAGAAACCAGUACCUGUAUGUUAUAAGUGUUGACCCUGGCUGUUGAGACACUUGUCCCACAGUGACA